GCUGAGCUCCUGAAGUUCAGUUGAAGAGAGGGAGGAGGAUCAUAUGAACAAGGGGAGUCAAGAACAUGACAGGGAACACCACAAAGACAGCUGACCUGAGCUAGCAGGAGCUGGUGGACUAUGGACUGACAGCAGCCAGGUCUCUGGGACGGCAGGAGGGAAGACUUCAGGGCAAACUUUUCUUUGACUUGGCAAGCGAUUGGUACUCAAUUCAUGUCAUCUGACGCUGUGGAUAAGCUUGCUGUACUUUGAACAGUGGAGGGUAUGAGGAGAAGAUUGUUUGAAAGACAAUGAAGUGAUUGUGACCUUGUGGAUGUGUCCUUACCAUCCUCCUUGUCCCUUUAACAUGGCUGCUUUUGACUCCAAGCAUUUCUGGAGUUCAUCGUUCUUUUGAAAAGCAA